AAUCAGAGGCGGGCUCACCCUGGAGCUCCACGCCCUCAAUUCUAUGGCGUGCGGCGGCCCGAGCGCAUCCCCGACCACGACGGCGCAAUGACCAGUGCACACUAGGAGAUGGACCUCCGCCAGUGUCUCCUCCACGGGCAAUAUUAAGCCGUCCUUCACCGCCAGCGACGGCGGCGCACACGUCAAUAUAAAAGGCUGCGCGAGACGACCCCAUCUCUUCUGCAGAUGCGUGUCCUCCGCCUGUGCCUUUCUACUGAGGUGCAGGCGGCCAGGAGGCACAAGGAGCAGUGAGGUCGGUGGUGCUACAAAUCCUUACGUAUUUGAUGGAAUGUCCCACACGUACUAAGGUUCAGUUUUUUUUUUGUUGACAAUUCAGCUGGCGAGAUGGAUGGUGUGCUCAGUCCAAGAAGAGUGGUGUUAUUACCAAGAAGUAGACUUCUGUCAAUUGUUCUCGAGGUCAAUUUUUAAAUGGGGAUCCUUGGUCCUCUCUCCAUGUACAAAACCCACUGGCUCAUGUCCAAGAUCGAAGCUACUCGGCUGCAAUCGGAUCGCGGGGGCUGUGGCGGCGACCAUUGGCGGGAUCCUGCAGUAGGAGCACAUCCACAUGACCGUGAGCAGAGUGGUUGCGUGCAGUGUUCAGGAAGUUCAGAGUAACUAUUAUAAACUCGAAGGCUGCUCAUGAAAGCGAAUGUUCAGAGUAACUAUUAUAAAUUUCAGUUGUAGGUUUACCAAGAAAAAACUUCAACAAUUAAUCAUAAGGCAUACUUUUAAUCCAAGAUCAGGAAGUGUAAUACAGUAUGAUAUAACUCACCAGUUUAUUCAUAAUUUUCUCUAGAAGGAUUACUAGCGGAUCAGUAUUUCUGGUACCAUAGUACCUGAUAUGUUCAUUGAAUUGCAUGUUGGGUAAAUUCAGCCCAAGCAUAAGCUCACCUAAUUUACCUUUUGGUUCUCUCCAUGCUGCUAGCCUUUCCAUGGCUCUUAAUAUUGGUACCCUGCGUAGGUGACCUUCUUGCACACUUAAAGUUUAGUAGUGUUGAUGCCAGAUGGAUCAGACGAAGUAAUUGCAUAGCAUCUAUAGAAAGGCAUAUACAUAUGUACAAUGUUGAGUGCCUUACAAGGGUUACAUUAAAUGUCUUAUCUUACGACUAUUAUAAAUGUUACUAAACAUUCUUUUGUUGAAAGUAUAAACUUCUAUUUUCCUGUUGUGAGGGUAAUAGCCAUACUAAUCAGAAAAUAAAUUUGGUAUUUGCUCACGGAUAUGGCAAGUAAAUAUGUUUUGCUCUGCCAUGUGAACUUUUAUACUUUCUCUGAGGGCUCCGCAUAAUUCAAUGUUUUCAGAGUAGAUGCUCAUUUAGUAAUUUGGUAAGUAGGUAUUCUUGAUAAACUCUGAAAGGAUAUUGAUAACAACUAAAAAUAUAACUUAUAGAUAUAUUAUUAAAAAUUCUUUCUAAAUUUGACUUCUCCAUUCCGUUCAACUCUUCUGUACAUCUCAUAUAGAAUGGAACCGCUCCUUUUCCACUAGCUCUUAUUACUUACUCUUAUCAUGCAUCGACGCAGGUCAGAAGAAGUGCAAGCUUAACCAUUCUUUUCUGGAUUUAUUUGCGCCUACAGGUGUCAUUGUUCUCAUAGCAAACAACAUCAUUUGAGGCCAGGUCUGCGUCUUCCGUUAGGUUUCCAAAUGGUUGAAUUUUUGCUGCAGUCCAUGCAAAUUUGGAAGAACCUGUGGAGCUUUCUUUAUGGACCAUGAUAGAGUCACAUCUGUCAUUUUCAGGCCAGACUAACAGUACAUGCCUACCUAGGUGUGUUGUUUAACUAAGGAUUCAUUCAGUGCUUGAAAAUAAUCUACUUUCCAUGAUGUUCACCCCGCUUUCGGAAGUGCAUCAGAUAUGUAUAACUUUCCUUUUGAUCAUUCCAACUAGCAUGCAAUUAAAUGCUUUUUUAUUUGAAACAACUUGGUCAACACAAAAUUGCUAGAUGAACACAUGGCGAAACAUUCC